AUGGCCGCCAGUGUGUGGGGGGUGUAUGACAUGUGGAACGCAACGGCUGGGAUGGUUUGAGUCGUGUUUCAUGCGCUGUCGUGGGGAGGUUCGAGACCGCCAGGACUGUGGGCGCUGAGCCUUCAUAUUGGUAGGAAGCUCUUGGCGCUGUAAGCAUUCUUGGGAACGUAAAACGAUGCAGCAGCACAUGUGCAUGCGUAUACAUGUACUGUACAUGCACUCCCUUUACCUCAUGAAUCCCGAUCCAUUUAUCGCUCCCGGCCUUGCUAUGUUGAGCCCUUCACUCAUCCUCAUCAAUCUGCUUCCUGCACUCUCCGGGUUGUAAAAUCUCCACUCACCCCAUUAGCGAGCCAUGCCAAGGACCAGGCCAGCGGUGAUUAACUAACUAUGAAACCCUCCUUUGGUCGAUGAUGUAAGCCAAGCUCGGCCGACAACAGCCCACGAAAGGAAAAGAAGGCACUCACUUUGAUGGGCUCCCCAACUUUUGAUACAGUUAGUAUCUUUCACCAGCGCCUCCCCCACUAAUAGCUCAGGGUGGUAAAUUGGAUACCAUGUAGAAAAUCGGAAGUUCAUUGGUUGCAUGUUCUGCAUGGUUCUCCAGGUUCGUGUGACUACGUUCCGCAUGUUAUCAAGCAAGCACUUGAGGCCAGUGGCACUCGACUUCCUUGUUCAAUGUUUCGUUGAAAACGCUGUCCCACUGCCAGAAUACUUGUCUAUAUGAGAGAAUUAGUUCAUCCAGAAAAGCCAAAUGUUUGGUAUGAAUCAUUUGUCGGUCAAUUUCUCUCUGCUGGUUUUGUCUGUGGUUCGUACUCGGAAGUUGGUGGGCUUGUGCUGUACUUCGCCAUUCUAAUAUCUAUCUCUACUGCAGAUACUAAAUAUUUACACUGAAAUAUUCUUACUAGUGUACCGAAUCUUAAGCCCACACUGCCUGGCCUCUAUUUUUCCUGAGAGUCCCUAUUCUCUUGAGUAAGAGAUGGAACGGCAAUACUUAAUGCCGGUAUCAAUAUUUCAGUUUAAAUUCUUAGUGUGAGUCAAAAACUUUUCACAUGUGCCGAAUC
rnacentral:sRNA from 1 species